rnacentral:rRNA from 1 species
UACGGGGGGAGCAAGCGUUGGUUCGGAUUUACUGGGCGUAAAGGGCGCGUAGGCGGCCUCCGCAAGUCAGUUGUGAAAUCUCCGGGCUUAACCCGGAAAGGUCAACUGAUACUGCGGGGCUAGAGUGCAGGGAGGGGCGAACCGGAAUUCUCGGUGGUAGCGGUGAAAUGACGUAGAUAUCGAGAGGAACACCUGCGGCGAAGGCGGGUUGCUGGGCUGACACGUGACGCUGAAGUGCGAAAGCUAGGGGAGCGAACGGG